rnacentral:rRNA from 1 species
GACGAACGCUGGCGGCGUGCUUAACACAUGCAAGUCGAACGAAGUGGCGAACGGGUGAGUAACGCGUAAUCAACCUGCCCUUCAGAGGGGGACAACAGUUUGAAACGACUGCUAAUACCGCAUACUGAAGGAGGGGCUUGCGUCUGAUUAGGUAGUUGGAGGGGUAACGGCCCACCAAGGCGAUGAUCAGUAGCCGGUCUGAGGGGAUGAACGGCCAAAUUGGGUCGUAGGCCAGGGCAAAACUCCUUGGGGAGGCAGCAGUUGGGAAACGUCCGGAAUGGAAGGAAGUCUGAAGGAACAAAGCCGCGUGAGUGAUGACGGCGUUCGGGUUGUAAAGCUCUGGUAGUCAGGACGCGGUACCGGAAUAGAAAGCCACGGCUAACUACGUGCCAGCAGCCGCGGUAAUUC